rnacentral:rRNA from 1 species
GUGGGGAAUUUUGGACAAUGGGCGCAAGCCUGAUCCAGCAAUGCCGCGUGCAGGAAGAAGGCCUUCGGGUUGUAAACUGCUUUUGUACGGAACGAAACGGUUCUCUCUAAUACAGGGGGCUAAUGACGGUACCGUAAGAAUAAGCACCGGCUAACUACGUGCCAGCAGCCGCGGUAAUACGUAGGGUGCAAGCGUUAAUCGGAAUUACUGGGCGUAAAGCGUGCGCAGGCGGUUUUGUAAGACAGAGGUGAAAUCCCCGGGCUCAACCUGGGAACUGCCUUUGUGACUGCAAGGCUGGAGUGCGGCAGAGGGGGAUGGAAUUCCGCGUGUAGCAGUGAAAUGCGUAGAUAUGCGGAGGAACACCGAUGGCGAAGGCAAUCCCCUGGGCCUGCACUGACGCUCAUGCACGAAAGCGUGGGGAGCAAACAGGAUUAGAUACCCCUGUAGUCC